rnacentral:rRNA from 1 species
CCUACGGGUGGCAGCAGUGAGGAAUAUUGGUCAAUGGGCGGAAGCCUGAACCAGCCAAGUAGCGUGCAGGAUGAAGGUACAGAGUAUCGUAAACCUCUUUUGUCAGGGAACAAAGGCGGGGACGUGUCCCCGGAUGAGUGUACCUGAAGAAAAAGCAUCGGCUAACUCCGUGCCAGCAGCCGCGGUAAUACGGAGGAUGCGAGCGUUAUCCGGAUUUAUUGGGUUUAAAGGGGGCGCAGGCGGUCUGUUAAGUCAGCGGUCAAAGCCCGGGGCUCAACCCCGGCCCGCCGUUGAAACUGGCAGUCUCGAGUUGGAGAGAAGUAUGCGGAAUGCGCGGUGUAGCGGUGAAAUGCAUAGAUAUCGCGCAGAACUCCGAUUGCGAAGGCAGCAUGCCGGCUCCACACUGACGCUGAGGCACGAAAGCGUGGGUAUCGAACAGGAUUAGAUACCCGGGUAGUC